rnacentral:rRNA from 1 species
UACGAAGGGGGCUAGCGUUGCUCGGAAUCACUGGGCGUAAAGCGCACGUAGGCGGAUCUUUAAGUCAGGGGUGAAAUCCUGGAGCUCAACCCCAGAACUGCCUUUGAUACUGGGGAUCUCGAGUCCGGAAGAGGUGAGUGGAACUCCGAGUGUAGAGGUGAAAUUCGUAGAUAUUCGGAAGAACACCAGUGGCGAAGGCGGCUCACUGGUCCGGUACUGACGCUGAGGUGCGAAAGCGUGGGGAGCAAAC